ensembl:lncRNA
CUUGUGAAUCCGGCCCCUGUUCCAGACCUUCUCAGGGGUACAGACUUUCCCAUUUGAAAAUUGAGCAUACUUUAGUGUAUUACAAAUAUAAUUUAAGCAUACAGAAGUGAUUACAAGUAUACGUUUAAUUUCUGUGCUGAAUUAAAAGUAUGGUUAACAAGUAGGCCUUUUAAAAAGUGAACUUCACAAUAGAUGUCGUCAAGUUCAACUUUAAUGUAGGCCAGGGUGGCUUUAAAAUCACAUUGUUCACAUUGCCUUCUCCAGCUGCCUUCUCUGCUCCUUCUUCUCCUCAGCCUUUUCCUCUCCUGCCGGGACUUCUCCUCCUGUGCCUUUCUUCCCCUGCUGUCCCUUAUUUUCCUGCUGUUCCUUCUCUUCCUGCUGUUCCUUCUCCUCCUUCUGUGCCCUCUCUUCCGCCUGCUCCUGCAAGUUCUCCGCCAGUAAUUUCCUGACUGCCUCAGUGAACGGGAUAUCCUCGAUAUUUAUUCUGAUCAUCUCACUUGGAUUAGUCUCAGUCUUUGGAUCGAAGAUAGACAUUAGAACUUAAAAACGUUACACGGUUUCAAAGACCACAAAUUACGAUACCGCGAAGGCUGGACAAAAUGCAUUCAAUGCUUUUUAAAUUUGUAUUUGUAUGAUUUUUCUCGCAGCCAAUCACCGCCAGCUGAUGUUCUAUCUUGCGCAGUGUGAUUGGCCCAUAACCGCAUCAGCUACAACCCAUACAAUCUGUGGCGUCGAAGUCGAGCGCGGACUGUCGGCCGGAGCUGGCUGUUCAGGUUGCCGAGACGCCACGCGUGUCCUUUAAAGCAACUGAUUCCUUCCCUCACCUAAUGGGUAUCGAAUGUAGUAGAAAGAAUUAAGUAUAGAAUGAAGCACUCCAUUGGUAUCGGUACCCAGCCCUAAGGUACUGUGUAGUAGGCCUACAGACCUGCGCAGGGCUACAGUCAGACCCUCAGCGGUAAAGACCUUCUCAGGGGCACAUACUACUUCUCAGGGGUACAGACUUUCAGGGGUAGACCUUCAGGGGUACAGACCUGCUCAGGGCUACAGACUUUCUCAGUUAUCACCAGAUCAUGUCUAUAAUGGACUUUUACACAUUUUUUCCAAAGUAGUUGACAUUUAUUAUAUCUAGCACACAGUGAGACACUCAAAAGAGUAAAUCAAUGCAAAUGAUACAUUCCAAAGCUCUGUUUGAAGGUUUUUCCAAAUACAUGCGCAAAAAAAAAGAAAUCCGAACACCAGAUAACAAUUAUCCAAGGCCUAUUUCAACUAUAGACAAAUUAGGUAAGGACCAAAUAUUGUACCAAAAAUAUUAAUAAAAUAUUGUAAAUACGAAAUAAACAUUGAAUGUUAAAUAAACACUGCACCAACAUUUGGUCCUGUAUGAAUACAUAUCAGCUAUUAAAUACACUGUGAGGUGGGAGCAUAAUGCUAUAUAUAUAUACAUUAUCUUUUUUUAACCAUUCAUUUACACCGACGGCGGUGUCAACCUUGCAAGGUUACAGCCAACUCGUCGAAGGCAGUUAGGGUGAGGUGUCUUGCUCAGGGACAUCUCGACACUUUGCUUUCAGGGGUGUCUGGGCCUCUGGGGGGACUCCACUGGCCACCAGAGGGGCUGGUUCGCUGGUUUGCUUCCUGCUGGCCCCCGCUGGUGGACGGGUGUUGCCAUAAAUGGGGCAGGUCAUCUCUUAAGGAAAACCAAGCAAAAAAGAUGCAGGCCUAUUAUGAUUAUUUGAAACAGAUGAUAAUUAUCAAACAGUUUGGCCGCUGGGUAUGAUCUCAAAUUCAGUGAAGGAACAUUUCUUGCUUUAAUGUUAUCAGAGUGCAUUUGAAUGCCAAAACAAGCAUAUUGUGCUUAGUAUAAAUAUAUACACAAUCAGCCAUGUUUGGUUUCCAGGGGGAGCAGCGUCCAUAGCAACAACCCUAG